rnacentral:rRNA from 1 species
AGCGAACGCUGGCGGCAGGCCUAACACAUGCAAGUCGAACGAAGUCUUCGGACUUAGUGGCGGACGGGUGAGUAACACGUGGGAACGUGCCUUUAGGUUCGGAAUAACUCAGGGAAACUUGUGCUAAUACCGAAUGUGCCCUUCGGGGGAAAGAUUUAUCGCCUUUAGAGCGGCCCGCGUCUGAUUAGCUAGUUGGUGAGGUAAAGGCUCACCAAGGCUACGAUCAGUAGCUGGUCUGAGAGGAUGACCAGCCACAUUGGGACUGAGACACGGCCCAAACUCCUACGGGAGGCAGCAGUGGGGAAUCUUGCGCAAUGGGCGAAAGCCUGACGCAGCCAUGCCGCGUGGAUGAUGAAGGUCUUAGGAUUGUAAAAUCCUUUCACCGGUGAAGAUAAUGACUGUAGCCGGAGAAGAAGCCCCGGCCAACUUCGUGCCAGCAGCCGCCGUAA